rnacentral:rRNA from 1 species
UGCACAAUGGGCGCAAGCCUGAUGCAGCGACGCCGCGUGGGGGAUGAAGGCCUUCGGGUUGUAAACUCCUUUCGCUAGGGACGAAGCUUUGUGUGACGGUACCUAGAUAAGAAGCACCGGCUAACUACGUGCCAGCAGCCGCGGUAAUACGUAGGGUGCGAGCGUUGUCCGGAAUUACUGGGCGUAAAGGGCUCGUAGGUGGUUUGUCGCGUCGUCUGUGAAAUUCUGGGGCUUAACUCCGGGCGUGCAGGCGAUACGGGCAUAACUUGAGUGCUGUAGGGGUAACUGGAAUUCCUGGUGUAGCGGUGAAAUGCGCAGAUAUCAGGAGGAACACCGAUGGCGAAGGCAGGUUACUGGGCAGUUACUGACGCUGAGGAGCGAAAGCAUGGGUAGCGAACAGGACUAGAUACCCUGGUAGUCCAUGCCGUAAACGGUGGGCGCUAGGUGUGAGGGUCUUUCUACGACUUUCGUGCCGUAGCUAACUCAUUAAGCGCCCCGCCUGGGGAGUACGGCCGCAAGGCUAAAACUCAAAGGAAUUGACGGAA